rnacentral:lncRNA from 1 species
GCAGUGAGCAAGCCUUUAAAAGAUUCUGAAUGCAGGAAGGUGUAGAAUUGAAGGGAGAUUGGGGUCCAUAAUCAAAUGCUGGAGAACCAAGGCUACCUGUCUGAAGAUGGCCCAGAGUCCUUUGUUUCUCCUAUUGAACUUCAUUACCAUCAAGCUCAGCCCAAGAAACCAAACUACAAAGGGUGGGGAGUUUCUUCAGUACAAUAACUGAGUUCCU